rnacentral:rRNA from 1 species
AGUCACUGACAUUAGAUACCCGGGUAGUCCAGGGUGUAAACGCUGCAGACUUGGUGUUGGGAACCCUUCGGGGGUGCUCAGUGCCGGAGAGAAGUUGUUAAGUCUGCUACUUGGGGAGUACGUCCGCAAGGAUGAAACUUAAAGGAAUUGGCGGGGGAGCACCGCAACGGGAGGAGCGUGCGGUUUAAUUGGAUUCAACGCCGAAAACUCACCAGCAGCGACUGUUACAUGAAAGUCAGGUUGAUGACCUUACUAGAUUUUCAG